UCCUUACGGUUGCCAUGGUAACCCGCCAAAACCGUCAGCAGAGGCGGCGGGGUUACGUUACCUUCAGGGGAACAGCAGGGGCAGAAGGAGAGAGGUCUUCGGCGUGGCAUCCCCACAAAGGGCUCAACUUCCACAAGACAGAGGGGGGGGGAGAGCAUGAGGGAGUGACGUAGACGGCGCAUGGGUGGGCGAGAGAGAGAGAGCGGUGGAGAUAAUGUGGGAGAAACGUAACAGAGAGAGAGAAAGAGCAGAGGACACAGAGCGUGGGUGGAGAGGGGGCGAGGUGGGGAAAGAGGGGUGUGAUGAGGGAGAAAGAAAAUUGAGGAGAAAAUCAAAAGAGGGCAGGAGCACUGUGAUAGGGAGAAGACAAAUCACCUAGAGAGAGGAGGUGGGAGAGAUCAGCUGUGUGGUGUGAGGGAUGAAAAAAGGGAUAAAAAUAGGAAACGGAAACAAGAGAAGACAGAAAAACUUGGAGGGGAAAUAAUCCCUCUGUUUGAUCUUUCAUCUGUGGUUCCUCAGAUAAUCUUCAGUUAGGCAUCAGCACCCUGUGACGGUUAUGAAAUGGGACUAGCCUACACAUAUGGCCAGUGUUCAUCACAGCACACAUAAUGAUUUAAUCCCAUUAUUAAAGUCAUUACUGAUCAUCACGAGAUCCAUCUCCUUCACAGACACAGAUAAUUGCUUCUGCUUUAAAGAUAUUUCACCCUCUCCUUGGAAACACUACUUGAAUGUUUAGACCGCCUGGCUCAAUUUGUUGCCAGCGUGGUGACUUUUGAAGUGUAGCUACUAUUGAAGUGCAAAUUAGGACAGUUUCUAAUAUGGACCUAUUAAACUAAAAUUCUCACAAAAGGUAGAUCACAGCUAGUGUGUGCUACCCCAAAAUUAAGGCUGCAGAAUAAGUGCAAAGGGAGUGUAUGUACAGAUAACUGGGGGAAACAGAUAUUUGAUAUUGACACAGACAUAUGGGCCAUUACAUGACACAUAUGGGAGGCAGACAAAGUGUUCUCAGGCUGGUGGGUAAAGGAGCCAGGAGAGUGAGAAUUACUACAAGGGACUAUCACAGAGAGAAAUAUAAAAAUCUGUGGGGGAAAAACUGCAGUUUAGAAAAUCUAUUUUGGACAGAUUGGAGUCCUAAUAAAAUUUUUAUGGCUCCGCCAAAUCAUGCAAAUAUAGCUGUGAAAUGCAUCGUUGGAACUUUACGCUCAGUAAAUCCUUAAUUGUAUAAUCAUUAAAGUAGAAGAUUAAAAUUAUAAGGAAAAUAAUAUAACUUAUCAGCUUCAGACGUAUUGAUCCUGGCUUUAGUUUUGGUGCCCCCUGCAGGACUCAAAUAUAACCACGCUGACAGAGCAGCUGUGCACCUUACAGUCAAAAUACAACAAUUUCCCAUCACACCAUCAAACAUAGUACAGUAAGACAAAAAGGAAUUCAGACACCAUUUCCAGUCACAAAGAUUCAAAGUGAGACACCAACUGUUUUAGCAUUCACACACUGCAUGGAAGGAGCUGAAGAAACGUCACGUCUCCGUGUAAGUACCCUGGUCAACCAGCUGAGUUAGAGGUAUAUUCAUCUUUACGAGAAAACUCCACGCAAUCUCCUGUCUGAUGAUUGACAACAACCAGCAGGACAAAACCAACAGAGAAGCGCAGGCCUUGCUCAAAUAUGUGUAAAUGCACCUGUAUUCCUCAAUCCUGCUGCGGGAUUUCACUAACACUGAAAAACUAUAAAGCCUGCUGAUUCCCAGCAGGCCUGACGAGGAAUAGAUGCAUUCUACUCAUAUUCAGAAAGGCCACAGUCUACAGGAUAACAACAGAUACCACGAGACGUCUCACCCAGACACGGCCGACACGGUUACUAUUGGUCAAUCACAGCUUAGACACAGCAGCUACGGGUCAGUGGUUGCAACAUUGCCUAUUAGCACACACUACACACACACACACAAACUUGGGGAGUUAUGCAACUGAGCAGGUAUGAGAAAGUCAGGGGAGCCAUUGCUGGGACUACAGGACAGGGCUACAGCAGCGCAGAGCUCCGAGGGGAAGCUAAGAGCCAUGCCAGCAGUUUAGCAUGAGUUAGUCCAGGCUUUCUCCACAGCUACGCCCCUUUCCUCCAGCUGCCUCUGCUUUUCCUCCACCUGCUCCAACUGUCUCUGGAUGAUCUGAACAAACAAGCAGGUUUCUGAGGGACGUGGCUGCAGAGGUUACCUCUAACACUCAACUGAUGCAACAGUUUACCCUCAUUAAAAAUAAAUGGCUGGAGGCACAGCGGGAGCACCGCUAAUUGGAAGUGUAUUGAUGUCUACAAGUACGUGAGGCUGUUCUGACAGGCAAAUAUUAUUUCAUGAAUUUUAACAAAAACUAUUAAUAUUUCAUAGUUCUCAGCUUUUUGGCCAUCGCCACACUCUCACUGGUUAUUGGCAGUGAAGGGGGGGGAAUUAUAGAGGGGAUGCAGCCUCUUAGGAUGUCUGAGAGGAGC